rnacentral:lncRNA from 10 species
CACCCAGGCUAUAGUGCAAUGGCGUGAUCUCAGCUCACUGCAACCUCCACCUCCCUGAUUCAAGUGAUUCUCCUGCCUCAGCCUUCUGAGUAGCUGGGAUUAUAGGCGCGCGCCACCACGCCCAGCUAAUUUUUGUAUUUUAAUAGAGACGGGGUUUCACCAUAUUGGCCAGGCUGGUCUCCGAGCUCCUGACCUCAGGUGAUCCGCCUGCUUUGGCCUCUCAAAGUGCUGGGAUUAUAGGCGUGAGCCACCGCGUCCGGCCCAGGGACACGAUUAUUAAAGGGCAGAGAGCCAGACUGGGGAGGCAGGUGUGCUCCAUUCCCAAGCCCAUGCUUGCCCUGGCUCUGCCGGGAAGACAGUAGGUGCUUUGCUUCCUGAGAAAGGUCAGGAAGAGGCGUGGCUCCUCCAGCUGUACAGACGACCAGGCCAGAUCCACAUGGCCCCGUUUGGUGCUUGGAUGUCUGGUAAACUGCCUGCCAAGGAGGAACGCAGGUGAGACUAAAGAGCUACAAAGUGAGUGUUCUGGACACUGUGAGAAUCUACAACUGGAGAAGCCAACAUUGCCUGUGGACUGAGAGCCACAUCCCAGAAAGUGAUGUUCAAAUGUCCAGUGGUCUCAGGCAAAGGCCCAGGCAAUGGAAGCUUCCCAUGGGGCCCUCUACCUCUUCACUGCUCCAGGUGGGCCCAGGCUCAUCAGACCACAGGCCCCCCAUCGCCUUCUCAGGGGCUCCCCCAUGCUAGCCGGGAAAUCAAGGUCAACACAGGCUCCACACUCCCCUGAGUCCUGCACCUACCCCAGGCUUGCUGAGGGCCUCCAGAGGACAGCUUCUGUCCCUCCUACCACAGGUUGGAUCUACAGCCUGACCUGGCCAUUCCUCCAGUGUUUGGAGAAUCAUUGCCUAGCCUUCAUUCAGGAGCCAGAUUGCCUGGGCUAGAAUCCCAGCUCCACCAUUCACCAGCUGUGUAAACUCCCUGGGCCUCAGUUUUCUCACCUGUAAAAUGGGAUUCAUUGGACUGUUAUGGAUUAAAUGAGUUGACGUUUAUAAAGAACUUAGAAGAACACCUUAUUUAUUUGUUAUGUAUAAAAUGAAAUUCCAUCCUGCCUAAUAAAUAUCGGGAACAGCUCUGGGUGGAGAGGUGAUGUGCCAGGGAGGGGUCAUCUCAAGUCUAAGAGAUAGAGGGUGACCCAUCUGGUAGCAGACAGCAGCGGAAGCUGCUUGCCUGGCCUCUCUGGGUUUGAGGGCAGGGAUGUCUCUUCUAGCUUGAACACAGCCUACACUCCAGUUCUGUGACUUCAGGUGGGUUUGGCAUCAAAAGCCUUCAGGGCUCCUCUUAUGUGAUCAUGAGUUUCCUGUUGAGAUCCUUCUGGCUGGAACAAGCUUCUUGAUCCCCCAGAAGUGCCCAGUACUUUUGUCACCUGUGUCUGUGCCUUUGCUUGGGGAUGCUGGGACUACAGAGCAAUAGAUUUUCUCUCUGUCUCACCUUCUGUUUUCUUCUUUGUUCUUCUCCAUCUCAAAAAGGAAGGAGCAAAAUGCCUCUGCUCAGGGGUAGAUUUUUCUGUCCAAGCUGAAUCAGGUUACCUCCCAAUUAUUUGUUAAUGGGAAACAGCCAGUCCUUCCAUCUGGGGGACACACAAUUGUGUAAUAUAUGCCAUCCCAGUUGAUCCUCAAUAACCUGUACAGCAGGCAGAGCUUGGCCUAUGCCACAGAUGCAGAAACUGAGGCUCAAAGGGCCAAGAGAACUUGUGCUCGGCCAGAAAACCUGUUGUAAAGAAUCACCAUCAAUUCUAUGACCUGUUACAUGUGCACAGUCUUUGUAAUUUACAAAGCAUCUUCACAGCCAGUUUCCUAAGGGAGCAUCACAAAACCCCUGCAGAGUAAAACAGGGCAGCUAUUAUUAUUCGUGAUUUACAGAUGGGAAAACAAGGGCUUGGAAGAUCAGAGAUAUUCACGUUGUUCCAUGGCUAACGUUGUUCCAUGGUUCAGUUAAAUUCAGCAAGCAUUUAUUGAGCACCUACUGUAUGUCAGCCCCUGUCCUAGGUCCUGGGGAACUAAAGAGAAUGAGAAAUGGCCCCCCGCUCUUGAGGAGCUAAUUUUUGAGACAAUGUGAUAGAUGCCUUCAGGAUGGGUGAUCACAGGGCUCUGAGGCAGCUCACAGAGAAGCAGGUAUUAGGGAGGCUUCUUGGAAAAGCUGACAUCUGAGCUGAGUCUUAAAGGAUGAAUAGGAAUUGACCAGGUAAGUAAAGGUGAGACAGACAUUUGGAGCUAAGAGACAGGGCUAGGGCUAAGCACAGAGUACGGGUCCAGGUCGUGUGUGCAAAAGCCACAGGUAGUUGGUUCUUACAGAAUAGACACUUUGAAGCCACAUCUCCUGCUACGGCUUGAUCCACUGUAACAAGCAGGAGAAUGACCUCUAUGUAUGUGCAUGCACGUGUGUGUGUGUGUGUGUGAGAGAGAGAGAGAGAGAGAGAGAAAGAGAGAGUAUGUGUGUGUGUGCGCGCGCGCGUGUGUGUGUGUGCAGGCAGGCAGUGGUGGCAGCAUCAUACAUUUAG